UUACAUUUUUGAUCUGGUUGUUGCAUUAAAGAGAUCGUUUUUCGAUUUUUGAUCUUUUAGAUACCCUAUUCUCAGUAACACUAGUUUUGGAUAAUUGGGACAAAUCGCCAAGCACUUUUCGGCCGUAAUUUGGUCAAGAUAAAUACUUGACAAUUUUAAUAUAUUAUAAUAUUAAAAAAAAAAAAAAAAAAAAAAAAAAAAACAGUUAAUUUUUGAUUUUGAUUUUGUGAUGAGUAGGUCAUGCCACGAUAUUGUUAUAUUUUUGAGUAUAGAUGACUGCACUGUACGUAAAUACUUCAGCACAAGUCCGACAAUCCGACUCAAUGUAAUAUUGGAUGAAAAAUAAAAUCGGUAACAAAAAAAAUCAUCGUUGUUGGAAAAACAAAUACGGUUGUUUUCGGUUAAGUACAAAUGUCAAAAAAUAUAUUAUUACUUCGGUUUUUUUAUUUUUAUUAAACAAUCGAUUUAAACCCUUAUUAUCGAAUGAAUAUACAUAACUGAACGAUUCUUGUCAAAUAUAUUUUUGUUCAACUGAUAACAAUAUUAUUAUCUUGUAACUUUAUAAGUUUUCGUUUUUUUUUUUUUUUUUUUUUUUGUCACAACUGGCCAAACGUUAUGCAGAAAUUGUUUUCCUUUGAUUUGUAUCAAAUUUAAAAACUAUCAGUAGAAAUAUAC